rnacentral:rRNA from 1 species
GUCCACGCCGUAAACGUUGGGAACUAGGUGUGGGCCUCAUUCCACGAGGUCUGUGCCGCAGCUAACGCAUUAAGUUCCCCGCCUGGGGAGUACGGCCGCAAGGCUAAAACUCAAAGGAAUUGACGGGGGCCCGCACAAGCGGCGGAGCAUGUGGAUUAAUUCGAUGCAACGCGAAGAACCUUACCAAGGCUUGACAUAUACCGGAAACACCCAGAGAUGGGUGCACCGCAAGGUCGGUAUACAGGUGGUGCAUGGUUGUCGU